rnacentral:rRNA from 1 species
UACAGAGGGUGCGAGCGUUGUCCGGAAUCACUGGGCGUAAAGGGCGCGUAGGUGGCGAGCCAAGUCCAUGGUGAAAGCUCGAUGCUCAACAUCGAGUCGGCCACGGAUACUGGUGCGCUGGAGCACUGUAGAGGCAGAUGGAAUUCCGGGUGUAGCGGUGGAAUGCGUAGAGAUCCGGAAGAACACCGGUGGCGAAGGCGGUCUGCUGGGCAGUUGCUGACACUGAGGCGCGACAGCGUGGGGAGCAAACAGG